ensembl:rRNA 5S_rRNA 5S ribosomal RNA
UUCUCCCUCCCUCUCUCUCUAUUUCCCCCUCUCUCAGGAAACAGGAGACUGGUUGCCCACUGAAGCUAAUUAGGGUUGAGCCUCGUCAGUACCUGUAUGGGAGACCUCCUGGGAAAACUAGGUUGCUGCUGGAA